GAUGAAGAACGCAGCGAAAUGCGAUACUUGGUGUGAAUUGCAGAAUCCCGUGAACCAUCGAGUCUUUGAACGCAAGUUGCGCCCGAAGCCAUUAGGCCGAGGGCACGCCUGCCUGGGCGUCACACGUCGUUGCCCCCCCAUCUACUCCUUCGGGAUUGCGGGGGGCGGAUGAUGGCCUCCCGUGCGCCUCGUCGCGCGGUUGGCAUAAAUGCCAAGUCCUCGGCGACGCACGCCACGACAAUCGGUGGUUGCGAAACCUCGGUUGCCCGUCGUGUGCGGUCGUCGCGCAUCGAGGGCUCGAAAAAAGUGUCGGGCUCCGGCUCGGCUUUCAACGCGACCCCAGGUCAGGCGGGGUUACCUGCUGAAUUUAAGCAUAUCAAUAAGCGGAGGA
rnacentral:misc_RNA from 1 species